CUGUUCCUCACGUCCCGCGGUGGAAGGGGAUAGAGGCGCGAAAAUUGUAGAGAAAGCGCGGUAAAAUCCUACCUGAUUACCCCUAUUUAGCAGCGGCGCCAUUCUUCCUCUAAACAAAUCUUCGACCCACUAAUUUCUCCUCCUUCUGCAGAGAUGGCGGCACACACGAACAGGAGCUAAGGUCGCAGAUUUGUCUCAGCACUUCGUUUCCCCUUUUCUAUCAGGAGCAAGAGAAACCAAAAGGCUGCAGAUCGCAAGCAAAGAACAAGAGGUACGGCUGAACUUAUUCUUUUGUAACUGCAGAAAUAUGUUCAGAUUUAUCUGUCUGGCUCUCUCUUUGUCCUGCUUAGCAUCUGAAUUUUAUCAGUAAUACACUAGAAAAUGAGUGUAAAUAGUUUGUGGAUAAAUUCUAAUACAAACGGAUAUGUUAGGCGAAAUUAACACUAUUGCUUGCGGCUGCUUGUUGUCGUGGUUGCGCACCUGAUUGGUACUACAUAGGUUCAGGACAAGGUUAAGCUUAUGCGUCUGCUUCCUUGCUUCCUGGUGCGCUAUGUUUGAAAUAAUGUGAAAUUCCUACAACCUGCACUUUGAAAGAUCUGCAUCUUUAUUAUCUAUAAAACUUUUUAUAUUUCAGUCUGAAGAGUACAUGUGAACUGAAAAAAGAGUAGUUUAAUUCAUGUUAAUGCUGCACCUUAUGGUCUUGUACAUCAGUAUAGUAUAGCAUUAUGUAAUAAGCAUCCAUUUGAUUCAUGUAUUCGAUUGCCUUAUAUAAAUACAAAAUGGAGGGGGAUUUGAUCCAUAUCAAAAUGCAUCAUGGGGGUACAUUUUCAAUGGAAGGACCACUUACUUAUGAUGGUGGCGAAGUGUCUAUUUUUCAAGACUGUGACAGUGAGCGUACAUCGUAUUUUCGUCUAGUUCGCAUGGCUAAAGACGUAGG